rnacentral:tRNA from 1 species
GUUUGUAGCUCAGUGGUAAAGCACUUGCCUAGUAUGUGUGAGGCACUGGGUUCAAUCCUCAGCACCACA